GCCUUUGUGGUAUAUUGGUGAGCACGUUCGACGCGUAACCGAGGAGUUCGUGGUUCGAUUCCCGACGAAGACA
rnacentral:tRNA from 1 species